CUCGGGACGGACCAUCCGUGAAUAAUCUGCUUCAUCUCUUAUGUUGGGGAUGUGAUCCUCUCUCACAUUAUGGUCUCAGCCACUCAUGUGACAAUGCCUGUCCAUCCUUUCCUGGUCCUGCUGCCCAUUCUGGGUCUCCUUGUGUUUCCAUAUUCACCCAUGCAUUUGGUAAAUGGCCUCGGGAUAGUGGAAAAACCAAAGAAUUGUUCCCUGAGUAAGUGUCCUGCAGGGGAAUUCGGUUCGAAGGCCCAGAAUGUUUCUUGUGAAAAUGCCACAAAUUUCAAAAACCCGUCAGUGGAACCAGAUGUGAACCUAAAUGGUAAUAUCUUUCCUAGGUUUACCUGCAAUUUUUUUUUUUUUUUUUUUUUAUCUCUUGUAAGAAUGUUUGUAUUUGUUUUGUUCACUAAGUUGUUAAUUUGGAAUGAUUUGUCGCACUGAUACAAAACCGUAAAGCCGAGUUCAGACUGCACGAUUUUCAAAGUAGUCGGGUCACUGUUCUUUUCACACUGCAUGACUAUCCUGGCCGGCAUUCAGUCACUGCUGUGCUCACACUGCACAAUGGAUCGGCGACAGAAGGAUUCACACUGCAUGACUUUACAAUAGGAAGAAUCGCCGACAGCUCUGUCUGGCACGCAAACUGUGUUUCACAACCAAACACACGCGAGAUGUGACAAGGAAACAACGCGAUAUCACACUUGCAAGACCGGGGUUUUCACGUGAGACUGGGAUAGCUCAGAUGAAACGUCAAACAGACACGGGUGCUCCUGCUAAAUUUAGACUAAUUUAUUUUCCAUUUCAUGGGUCCAAAUAGACAGAGAAGAAAGCUUUUUUCUGAAAUUAAGCCAUACUUGCCGAUGGUGUAGUCUAUAACUCCCCGAAUUCCCCGCUGCUCUGUAUCUUGCUCUCUCAUUGGAUGUCGUUCAUUGCCGAUGUAGUUUUCAGUCAGAACACUUUUCAGACAGCAUGAUUUUGAAUCGCCGACAGGUCCAGAUAUUUAGCAUGCCAAAUAUCUCACGGGCAUCGGCGACUCGUCUGCGAUUCUCACAGAUCGCGUCUUUGCUCCUUCACACAGCGUGAUUGUCACUCGCGUGAAUUAGCUUAGAUUUGCCUGUGAUUUCAGGCAUUUGUCGGCGAUUUUUCAAAACCUGUCGGCGAACCAAAAACGGGGCUAAAAUCGUGCAGUCUGAACGCGGCUUUACGUGCAAAGUUAUCAGAAUCUAGAAAUUAAUU
rnacentral:lncRNA from 1 species